GCGCGACAAACACUUCCGGAACCGCCGAAAGUCUGAAGGUGCUCGGAGACUUCGGCCGCUUCUUCAUGGGUGAGAUUUGGGAUUCUUACGGGAAGAUGUGAGGAAGGCUACUCGGCGGCGGAGGCCAGCCUUAUUUUCUGAGUCUGAUUGGCGGCCUGCUUUCACCGACUUUUUGAUUACCGAUCAAAGAGCGGGGGCAAGCCCGCCUUCCCGACCCCGAGCUUAUCAAAGUGUUCGUUAAAUCAUGCUUGAACGCCAUUCAAGCUAGUGCUUCAUCGCC
rnacentral:misc_RNA from 1 species